CUUUUGGUAAACUUUAUGGUUAAUAUAAAUAUUUAUUAAAUUUUGCGAAUAAAUUAUGGUUACAUAAGUUUAUAGUUUUAAUCAAUAACUUAGUGUCAAUAAUUUUGAAUGGACGGGUGCAAGAGACGUUAAAAAUAAAUACAAUUUGACAUCAUCGAUCAACUUUUAAAUUAACUAAGUUGGACAUUUUGUAAAAAUUGAUUUUCAAUUCAGUUUGAAUUGAUUUUCAUAAUACCUACCUAAUGAAUAUAAUUAGACUUUAAUAAGUUAGAAUAGCUUUAAGUUAGAGUAUCUUGCUCUGCGUUGAUGUCAGGGUGUUGAAUAUGACGUACAGUACAAGUAUAAUCGGGGGCAAAAUUGUUAUCAGAUCGUUUAAAUGUUGAUUUUUUUUUUUUUUUAUAUUUAAACUCUUUUUAACUCGCAACGUUGCCAGAUGUCCGAACAUCAUUAAUUAUUAAUAGAAAUCCGAAAAAAAAAAACCGUACACCGGGAUUGUAGUCGAAAUCCGUCAGUGUAGUUAUGGUGUUUCACUAAUUAAUUACUCGGUG